CGGCUGGCGGAGAUUGAGCAACGGGGAAAGGCGGGAGGCACCUCCCCUCUUCCGGAUCCAGCACCCGCAGACCUGGUCAGCCCUUCCUGAGAUCUGCCCUGUGGAGCUCUGCUUUGGGGACUGGGUGUGAGGUGAACCAGAAGGAUUUGCUGAGCACCGAGAAAGCACCGGCCUAGGCGCAAAGAGCCGGGGGCCAGCUCUUGGAGGGCCUGGAGACCCCACGUGGUCCCGACCGAAGGACCUGUGGACAUCCAAAGGUGAUACAGCUGGAAAAAGGAUCUUCAUCCAAGACAAAGAGAAACAAAGUCGAUAGGAAAGUGAUGAAAGGCAUCAAGCAAAGUGAAGAUGCAAAUGAGAAAACAAGAUCAGAAGACAGGAAUAUCUGAAACAAGUCACAAAUGCAUAGUAUGACCUCUCAGAAUCGUCUGGAUAAGUGUCAGCAUUCUCCAAGUCACUUUCUUGGUAUGAAAUGAACAUUUGUGGCCAGGUGCAGUGGCUCACACCUGUAAUCCCACCACUUCAGGAGGCCGAGGUGGGCGGAUCAUGAGGUCAAGAGAUCGAG
rnacentral:lncRNA from 10 species